AGGGCACCACCAGGAGUGGAGCCUGCGGCUUAAUUUGACUCAACACGGGAAAACUCACCCGGCCCGGACACUGGAAGGAUUGACAGAUUGAGAGCUCUUUCUUGAUUCAGUGGGUGGUGGUGCAUGGCCGUUCUUAGUUGGUGGAGUGAUUUGUCUGGUUAAUUCCGAUAACGAACGAGACUCUAGCCUACUAAAUAGAUCGUCGGCUUACAAACGCCGGCGAGACUUCUUAGAGGGACAGGCGGUGAUUCAACCGCACGAAACAGAGCAAUAACAGGUCUGUGAUGCCCUUAGAUGUCCGGGGCCGCACGCGCGCUACACUGGAGUGAUCAGCGUGCUUUUUCAACCUACUCUGUCAAGAGUGGGGAACCCAAUGAACCUUCUUCGUGAUUGGGAUAGGGGAUUGUAAUUAUUCGCCUUGAACGAGGAAUUCCCAGUAAGCGCGAGUCAUAAGCUCGCGUCGAUUACGUCCCUGCCCUUUGUACACACCGCCCGUCGCUACUACCGAUUGAAUGUUUU
rnacentral:rRNA from 1 species